UACGUAGGGGGCAAGCGUUGUCCGGAAUCAUUGGGCGUAAAGAGCGUGUAGGCGGCCAGAUAAGUCCGCUGUGAAAUCUCGAGGCUCAACUUCGAGCUGUCGGUGGAAACUGUCUGGCUAGAGUCCGGAAGAGGAGAAUGGAAUUCCUGGUGUAGCGGUGAAAUGCGCAGAUAUCAGGAGGAACACCGGUGGCGAAGGCGGCAUCCUGGACUAACACUGACACUGAGGAGCGAAAGCCAGGGGAGCAAACGGG
rnacentral:rRNA from 1 species